rfam:Puccinia sorghi strain RO10H11247 Scaffold_100, whole genome shotgun sequence.
GAAUUGGUAGCCUAGUGGGUAAAGGCAUCAAUUCUAUUAUUUUUUCUUAGCUAGUAGCUAAGGUCUCUGGUUCAAAUCCUGCCCAAGUUA